rnacentral:misc_RNA from 1 species
AUCCAGAUAACAUGACUUAUGAGGUUUGCUUUCUGUAACUUAUCCUGUUCUCGUCGUUGCAUUUUAUUUUAAUAGGGUUCGAUAUUAUCGUCGUGAUGAUGUAAAAUGUGGGGUUAAGUGCAAUCCAGUAUGGAAGAGCUGGUAUUGCCAGUUGUUUCUUUCAACUUGCUAAACAAUUAUUUUGUCAGAUUUUUUAUGAGUAGUCAAAAAAGAUAAUUCUUGUGAACUAUCAUUUAUGACCUAGACUAAGCAUUUGCAAAACAAUGGAUUUUUACCGUCUUCUUUUGCUUUGAAGUUAUGAUUAGCGUCAUGCUUUUUCACGAGUAUUAGUUAACACUGUUUUCCAUGUAAAGAAAUAUAUUGGUGAAUACUAAUUAUGAAGGGGCAUUUGCUUGGCUAGUUGGCUUUUAGAGUUGCACAAACA